AUUGAACGCUGGCGGCAUGCCUUACACAUGCAAGUCGAACGGUAACGCGGGGGCAACCCUGGCGACGAGUGGCGAACGGGUGAGUAAUACAUCGGAACGUACCCAGUAGUGGGGGAUAGCUCGGCGAAAGCCGGAUUAAUACCGCAUACGACCUAUGGGUGAAAGCGGGGGAUCGCAAGACCUCGCGCUAUUGGAGCGGCCGAUGUCGGAUUAGCUAGUUGGUGAGGUAAAAGCNCACCAAGGCUACGAUCCGUAGCUGGUCUGAGAGGACGACCAGCCACACUGGGACUGAGACACGGCCCAGACUCCUACGGGAGGCAGCAGUGGGGAAUUUUGGACAAUGGGCGAAAGCCUGAUCCAGCCAUGCCGCGUGUGUGAAGAAGGCCUGG
rnacentral:rRNA from 1 species